rnacentral:tRNA from 1 species
AGAAGUUUAGGCUAUACCUAGACCAGGGGCCUUCAAAGCCCCAAGAGGGUGCAAUCAACCCAACUUCUG